AACAUUUCAUAGGGGGAAGAAGAACACAAGCAAAAAACCUAAUCCUCACUUUAAUUUCAAAUCCAUGUAACUUUUGAUCCGGAGCUCCGAUUGACGAACCGUUUGUGGCCACGCGUUCACCGCGAUGAGCUCUAUAAAACCCAUGGAACAAUUUAGUAGGUUCAAGUUAGCUUCCGGGACUUAUGGGUUCAAGCUAUUGAGCAUAUGGGUAUGGUGUAGAUUAAGUGGAUAUAUAUGCAUUGGAAUUUAAUUGGGAAUAUUUAGAGGCUUGUUGGUGAUCAAAGCUUAGUUUGUGGCUGUUUUACUUGAGCUUGGAGGGGCUGUAAUUUUAUGUUGAGAGGCUGCCUUGGGUGAAUUAAGUGAUCGGCCAAGAUGUAGGUCGAGAGGCUCCUCGCUAGGCGUCUGGAUCCUGGAAAGCGAAGUAGUCCUUGGGUGUAUUUUGGUUUCUAUUUGUAUAUAUGUAUAUAUAUGUGUAGCUUACUCUCCAAGUAACUUAUGUACGUUGCUCCUCUUAGAGGUUGAGGGAGAGAUAGGAGUUUACUUUGAUAUUUUGGUAUAUUUUGGGGACACUUAUGUAUGUUUAUAUGUAUAUAUGUAUCCUCCGGCCAGCCUUAGCUUCGCAGGCUGAGUCAGGGGCUAGUUAUACUGUUC